UCAAAUAUAAAUUAAAACUAGAAAAUGGAUAAUUUUUUAAAACUAUACUACUAUCAAUUUGCAACUGUAAGACUAGAUAAGAUUUGACAUUAUUGGGAGAGCCUCUCUGGAAAGCAAUUUGGUAAUACAUUUCAAGAGUCAUUAAAAACCGGUCAUAACCAGGUAUGGUAAUGCACACCUGUAGUGCCAGCUACUGGGUAGGUUGAGGCAAGAGAAUCACUUGAGCCUCAGAGUUCAAAUCCAGCCUGGGCAAUAUAGUGAGACCUUGUCUCAAAAAAAAAAAAGUUUAAAAACUUGAUGACUUAAAAAUGUACUCCUAGAAAACUAUCCCAAAGCAGAGAUGACUUUCAUAAAAGGAUGUUUUUCAAAAGGUAAUUUAUAAGCCACAAAAAAACCCCUUGUUUCCAAUAUGUAUAUUGGAAGAAAUAUGGGAAGAAAUAAGUUAUGAUAGAUCCUCAUAUUAUAAUUAGGUGCCCAUUGAUGAUAAUAUUUUCAAAGAAAGAUAAUAUAUUAUCUUGUUUGAAUAUUAAGGAAAAACUAGUCAAACACCAUAGUAUGCUUUCAAUUUUGUAUAAAAGAUAAAAGAAACCCAUCAGGGCCAGGCAUGGUGGCUCAAGCCUGUAAUCCCAGCACUUUGGGAGGCUGAGGCAGGCAGAUCACUUGAGUUUAGGAGUUUGAGACCAGCCUGGCUAACAUGGUGAAACCCUGUCUCUACUAAAAAUACAAAAAUCAGCCAGGCCUGGUGGCGCACGCCUGUAAUCCCAACUACUUGGGAGGCUGAGGCAGUAGAAUCGCCUGAACCCGGGAGGCAGAGGUUGCAGUG
rnacentral:lncRNA from 10 species